rnacentral:rRNA from 1 species
GACGAACGCUGGCGGCGUGCCUAAUACAUGCAAGUUGAGCGAUGAAGGGUGGUACUUGUACCAACUGGAUGAGCAGCGAACGGGUGAGUAACGCGUGGGGAACCUGCCUUUGAGCGGGGGACAACAUUGGGAAACGAAUGCUAAUACCGCAUAAAAACUUUAAACACAAGGUUUAAGUGUGAAAGAUGCAAUUGCAUCACUCAAAGAUGAUCCCGCGCUGGAUUUGCUAGUUGGUAAGGUAAAGGCUCACCAAGGCGACGAUACGUAGCCGACCUGAGAGGGUGAUCGGCAACACUGGAAGUGAGACAGCGCCCAGACCCCGACGGGAGGCAGCGUGAGGGAUUCUUCCGCAAUGGGCGAAAGCCUGACGGAGCAACGCCGCGUGAGUGAUGAAGGUCUUCGGACCGUAAAACUCUGUUAUUAGGGAAGAACAAACGUGUAAGUAACUGUGCACGGCUUGACGGUACCUAAUCAGAAAGCCACGGCUAACUACGUG